rnacentral:rRNA from 1 species
GACGAACCGUGCGAACGUUAUUCGGAAUCAUUGGGCUUAAAGGGUGCGUAGGCGGCGCGGUAAGUCGGGUGUGAAAUCUCGGAGCUUAACUCCGAAACUGCAUUCGAUACUACCGUGCUUGAGGACUGGAGAGGAGACUGGAAUUUACGGUGUAGCGGUGAAAUGCGUAGAUAUCGUAAGGAGACCGUGGCGAAGCGACUCCUGGCCUGUUCUUGACGCUGAGGCGCGAAAGGCUAGGGGAGCAAACGGG